UACGUAGGGUGCAAGCGUUAAUCGGAAUUAUUGGGCGUAAAGAGCUUGUAGGCGGUCUGUCGCGUCUGCUGUGAAAAUCCGGGGCUCAACCCCGGACUUGCAGUGGGUACGGGCAGACUAGAGUGUGGUAGGGGAGACUGGAAUUCCUGGUGUAGCGGUGAAAUGCGCAGAUAUCAGGAGGAACACCGAUGGCGAAGGCAGGUCUCUGGGCCACUACUGACGCUGAGAAGCGAAAGCAUGGGGAGCGAACAGG
rnacentral:rRNA from 1 species